AUACGGAGGGGGUUAGCGUUGUUCGGAAUUACUGGGCGUAAAGCGUACGUAGGCGGACUGGAAAGUUGGGGGUGAAAUCCCGGGGCUCAACCCCGGAACUGCCUCCAAAACUUCCAAUCUAGAGCUCGAGAGAGGUGAGUGGAAUUCCAAGUGUAGAGGUGAAAUUCGUAGAUAUUUGGAGGAACACCAGUGGCGAAGGCGGCUCACUGGCUCGAUACUGACGCUGAGGUACGAAAGCGUGGGGAGCAAACAGGAUUAGAUACCCCAGUAGUCC
rnacentral:rRNA from 1 species